GACGAACGCUGGCGGCGUGCUUAACACAUGCAAGUCGAACGGAAAGGCCUGCUUUCCCUUGUGGAUUGCGGGUACUCGAGUGGCGAACGGGUGAGUAACACGUGAGUGAUCUGCCCCCAACUUGGGUAUAAGCCUGGGAAACUGGGUCUAAUUCCCGAUAGGACUGCAGGGUGGUGCCUGUGGUGGAAAACGAUUUUCUAGUGGUUGGGGAUGAGCUCGCGGCCUAUCAGCUGGUUGGUGGGGUAAUGGCCUACCAAGGCGGCGACGGGUAGCCGGCCUGAGAGGGUGGACGGCCACAUUGGGACUGAGGUACGGCCCAGACUCCUACGGGCGGCAGCAGUGGGGAAUAUUGCACAAUGGGCGGAAGCCUGAUGCAGCGACGCCGCGUGGGGGAUGACGGCCUUCGGGUUGUAAACUCCUUUCGACCGCGAGGAAGCCACCUGGUUGGAAGGGUGGUGACGGUAGUGGUAGAAGAAGCACCGGCUAACUACGUG
rnacentral:rRNA from 1 species